rnacentral:lncRNA from 1 species
AACAAACAAACAAACAAACAAAAACCAGGACACUGAAGAGGCACUUACUUAGAUCGUCUCCAGCUGUUCUGUACACUGAAAGAGGUAGGAUGACUACAGGAAAUAUUUAAUGAAUUUCUUGCAGUGGACUUAGUCAACUUCAGGGUCCAGAAUCUUGAUAUUUUAUCUUCUUAAUCCGUGUAGUAUUCGUGAUUAUAUGUCUUAAUUCCAUGCAAUUCUAGAUAAAGGCAAGGACAACAGGUAGCAUAAUUGGUAGUACCAGCCAGAGCUACCUGCAGGCUCUGCUGUUGCCAUCAACCACCUGAAUCUAUCCAGUAGCCAAGGAAUUCGUGGAGCAUGGCUCAGGCCUGACAGCCAUCCUGGAUGUGCAGCACAGAACAGAAAAACCUGGCCUCACUCAGCGGGCACCUACGCCAGAGAAACAUUUCUAGUGACAUACCCAACUGCCUGAUGAUGGCACAGCCCUGAGUGCACUCACAGACCAACAGCUCUCAGAGGGAC